GCUGGAAGUCACUCAUGAUCCCUUUCAGAAGGAAUUGUCAGCACAAACAAUGCAGAUUACAAGAUGAGAAAAUCCAAAACAAAGCACAUGCACAAACCUCCCAGUUCUGGAGGUUGGGGAGUCCAAGAUCAAGAUGCCAGCAGAUACGGUAUGUGAGAGCCUACUUCCUGGUUUAUAGAUGGCCAUCUUUUCACUGUGUUCUUUCUGCGUGAUGGAAGAGGUAGCUACUAUCCAACUUAUCCAAGUUUAAACCAUAAGAAGAUGCAUGGACUUCUGUACCUGAGAAGAAACUGGAAAGAAAAAAAAAUAACACAGAAUCCAAGCAUGAGCUGAAGAAACUGGAGCCCCGGGAACUGAAGGGACAUCAGACUGCAGCUAGGCUGUCGUGGACAAGCUGACUUCGAAUCAAAACUAAACCACACUAAACUAAAAUUACACAAAGCAUGAGAUUGAGAUAAGGGGAUGACAAGUAUCCAGCUGCAAUCUGCUAAAUAACAUGAUGAUAAAUAUGGGCUCUAUUGCUCCAAUAACAUUGCCGCAGACUUAUCAGAUCAGAAGGUUUUUUGGAUCCAUCUGAAUAAGAGGAGUACCUGAUAGACUUUUCACCUAUGAAAGGGUAAAGAACAAAAUUAUGUGGGUGUGUUCUUUAACCGUAGGUAAGUCUCACGCCUUCCAUCUUGAAGGCUCAGGAUUCCAGCUUUAAUUUAAUACAAUGUAGAUCACGCCCAGGAGUACUGAUUUCAGUAGAAGGGCUCAUGAAAGCCUAUGUGCAAAUGAAAAGGACAAAAUAAAUGACUGUUUAAGUACCUAGAGAAGUGACUUUCACAUUUGCCCUAACAGCAAUAUAAUCAAGUUAGACAGAAGCCAGGUUCUCAGAACUUGGCUUGAAGAGGUUUGUGAUGUAAGCUGAAUGUGCAGCCGUGUCAGGGACCUUUAAUGAGAUGCUUCUAUCCCAAUGGAGUUUUAACUCUUGGCCAGGCAAACUUGUCCUUUACUCUCUCCCUCCGGGACAGCAUUUGAAUUGACAGUGUCCUCUU